rnacentral:rRNA from 1 species
UGAGGAAUUUUGCGCAAUGGGCGAAAGCCUGACGCAGCAACGCCGCGUGGGUGAUGAAGGCCUUUGGGUCGUAAAGCCCUGUCAAGUGGGAAGAACCCGCAUGGUGCGAAUAAUGCCAUGCGCUGACGGUACCACUGAAGGAAGCACCGGCUAACUCCGUGCCAGCAGCCGCGGUAAUACGGGGGGUGCGAGCGUUAUUCGGAAUCAUUGGGCGUAAAGGGCGCGUAGGCGGCUACCUAAGUCAGGCGUGAAAGCCCGGGGCUUAACCCCGGAAGUGCGUUUGAAACUGGGUGGCUUGAGUAUGGGAGAGGGAAGCGGAAUUCCUGGUGUAGAGGUGAAAUUCGUAGAUAUCAGGAGGAACAUCUGUGGCGAAGGCGGCUUCCUGGACCAAUACUGACGCUGAGGCGCGAAGGCGUGGGGAGCAAACA